AUUAUUUUCUACUACAAGUACAUUAAAGUGGCCACACUUAGAACAUUCUUUACAAAUACUGCCACAGCACAAUAUAUAAAGGAAUGCAGUAUUCACUUAGAAAGUUAAUUCUCUACAACUAGAUUUUACAUUGAAUGUAUUCCUAUUUACUUUUUUGCUUGUUUUUACUUUCUAGUCCUCUUGAGGCCUGUCAGCUAUAUGACCUUGGGAGAGUGUGUGGAUUAUUUCUGGCUGAGAGUGGAAGGAGAAAUCGCAUGGGAAAGGAAAUCCUCACACGAAUGUCAGCUGAAUUUUGGAUGGCUGCGGAAAGAGGAGAAGGUAACUCAGGAAAGGGGCCCAACUCACUCAGGCACAUUCAUUUUAAUAAAGUUCACAGAAAGCACCUGUUCUUGGAACACACCAACAUGAUGUGA
rnacentral:lncRNA from 13 species